AUGAGCAAGCCCCUGGAUUGGAUGGGCUACCACCCCAGAAAACGGAGUCAAUUUGGGUACCACAAGGAGGGCUUGGAAGGCAGCAGGUCCUUUGCCAAGAUGGGACCAAGAUCUGCCAAUCUUUAUUGCUCACCCAAGGAGUCAGGAGAGAAAGAUCUGCUUAUUCAACUGACAUUGACCAAAAAUAAGAGAUGGGAAACUGACGCCCAGAGAGGAAGAGAUUUGCUCAAGGCCCCACACAGUGAGUUAGUGACAAAGCUGGGAUUGGAAACCAGAACUUUCUUACCAUACCAUACCAUUCUCUCUCUAUUAUUGACAAAAUGUUGAAUGAAUGUAUCAUUGAAGAUUGAGUGAAUGGAGUGAAGGUCUCUAUAUAUGUUCCCAGGGACGUGGAGGAUUUGCUGAUGUGGGGACCAAACUUUGCAGCAGUUGUUCCUCAGACAAGCUAUUCUGGUGCAAUCACUACUCACCGUAUACUCGAACUCCUGGACUCGUGUGACCCUCCCACCUUAGCCUCCUGAGUAGCUGGGACUACAAGCACAUGCCACCAUGCCCAGCUAAUUUUUGUGUUUUUUGUAGAGAUGGGAUUUUGCCAUGUUGCCCAGGCUGAUCUGGAACUCCUGGGCUCAAGUGAUCCGCCUGUCUCAGCCUCUCAAAUUGCUAGGAUUACAGGUGUGAGCCACCAUGCCCGGCCACAAGCUGUUCUUAUAAGCCUCCCUGCUUUGGUUUCAACUGUUCCUUUACUCUGGAAUGCCCUGCCCACUCUGGCUUUUAAAAUCGUAUACAAGGUCUAACCCAAUGCCACCUCCUCUAUGAAGCCUCUCAUAACAUAUCCCAUGUGUUAGCUUUCAUUGGUUCCAUAGUAUGCUGUUAUGUCCCAGCCACAAUCUGAUGCAUUUGUCUAGUUACAUAUCUGUCUUCUCCACUAGUUUUCUCCCAACCAAACAGACAGGGGAGAGAUGUGAAUUUUUUAAUUUUUGAUUUUAUUACUAUUAUUAUUUUAUAGAGACAGGGUCUCCCUGUGUUGCCCAUGCUGGUCUCAAACUCCUGGGCUCAAGGGGUCCUCCUGCCUCAUCCUCCCAAAAUGCUAGGAUUACAGGCAUGAGCCACCAUGCUCUGCCAGAAAUGUCAAUUCGAAUCUACAUUCUCUGAUUGAAAGGAGUAUACAAGGAGGCCAGAAACCUAGUUCUUGUUAUUUACUAUCUGUGGCACCUUGAACAAAUUACUUGUAUUUUAGAUCUUGUUUUCACAUUUACAAAAUGGAAUGGAUGAAAGACAAAGUCUGCAAAUACUAACUCCUAAACCUCUUUUUCUUUCUCUCUCUCUCUCUCUCUUUUUUUUUUUUUUUUUUUUGAAGGAUAAGGUCUCACUCUGUUGCCUAGGCUGGAAUGCAUCACACCUCACGGUAACCUCGAACUCCUGGCCUCAAGGGAUCCUCCCACUCCCACUUUGGCCCCCAAAGUGCUGUGAUUACAGGCAUGAGUCACCCACUCAGCCUACUUAAGCCUCUUUUUUAUUUUUUUUUUGAGACAGGGUCUUGCUCUAUCACCCAGGCUGGCGUCGUGCAGUGGUACAAUCUCAGCUCACUGCAACCUCUGCCUCCUAAGUUCAAGCGAUUCUCCUGCCUCAGCCUCCUGAGUAGCUGGGACUACAGGUGUGCACCACUACACCCAGCUAAUUUUUGUAUUUGUAGUAGAGACAGGGUUUCACCAUAUUGGCCAGGCUGGUCUCGAACUCCUGACCUCAGGUGAUCCACCUGCCUCAGCCUCCCAAAGUGCUGGGAUUACAGGUGUGAGUCACUGCACCUGGCCACCUAAGCCUCUUCUAAUGGAAGUAUAGAUUAUUGACUCUGAAUGCUCAUUCUAGAGUCAACCUACCAGACUUUGAAUCCUGACUAUCACUUACUCUGUGACUUUGAGUAAGCUACUUAACCCCUCUGUGCCUCACCUUUACCUGUAAAAUGAGAAUAAUAACCAUGCCUGUCUCAUAAGAGUUGUGAGGAUUCGAACAGAUAAUUUAUAUAUAAAGCACUUAUCGCAGUACCUGGUGCCCAUGGUGAGCCUUUGAAAAGAGUAAGCUCUCAUUAUUUUUUAUUAUUUUUAUUUUACUAACCCUGGGUUCACAGCUUCAGAAUCUAGAAAAGACAUCUCCAACUUUAAUGUCCUCAAAGCAAGGUGAGAGUCUGUCUUCAUUCUAGGAGAGGUCUGCCGAGCAGAGUGAUGAAGAGCAUGGAUCUGAAACCAUCCAAAAGUAGUGGCAAAAUAACAAUAUGCUCAGACAUGUGGAAUACAGAAAUUGCACUCCCAUUCACCCUUUCCUGAGCAACUACUUGAAGAUGUACUUCUCAAGUGUGAAAAAAAGAAAUAUGUUGACAUGAGAUCCAGAAAACACUGUCUCCAACCUGGAAAGCAGUGAGAAGGAAGUGCUGAGGUGACUGCUGGAAAGCAGUGAGAAGGAAGUGCUGAGGUGACUGCUGGAAAGCAGGGAAGUGCUGAGGUGACUGCUGGAAAGCAGUGAGGCUAGGCAAGGAGGACUGCUGGAAGCAGGAGAAGGAAGUGCUAAGGUGACUGCUGGA
ensembl:lncRNA